UGGCAAGCAGAGUGGUGUUCUUCCCAUUCUGGACGAAAGCCGGGAAGGAUCCAUCGCCGAUGUCCACCCCGCCGGAGAAGACGGAGACGGAGGCCGCGUCGUAGAGGUAGGCUAUCUUGCUGUUGGGGUUGCGGGCGGUGACGUUGAGGUCGAGCCGGGAGGUGAUGUGCCCGGCAGCGGAGACGUUGAAAGCGGCGAGGCGGAGGCCGCCGACCUCGAACGUGGGGCGACGGGGGUGGUAGAUGAGGUAGAAGACGCCGGCGGCGAUGGCGGCGAGAAAGACGAGGGCGACCACGAUGAGGGUGAUCCAGAGGCAGCAGGAGCAGCAGCAGCCCCGACGCCUGCGGCGGCGAGGCGGCGGCUUCCGCGGCUGGGGGCGAUAGGCCGGGAGGGUUGCACCGUAUGUCUGGCCCUUCGUCGGCGGGAAGGAGGGUUGCCCCCCGCCGCCGCCGCCGUUGAGGGCCUGGGGAGGGUUGUGGUUGGGCUUCGCCGAAGCGUAGACUUGCUCCGCCAUCGCCGCCGCCGUCCUCCUCGCUCUC
rnacentral:lncRNA from 1 species